AUUGAACGCUGGCGGCAUGCCUUACACAUGCAAGUCGAACGGUAACAGGUCUUCGGAUGCUGACGAGUGGCGAACGGGUGAGUAAUACAUCGGAACGUGCCUAGUAGUGGGGGAUAACUACUCGAAAGAGUGGCUAAUACCGCAUGAGAUCUACGGAUGAAAGCAGGGGAUCGCAAGACCUUGUGCUACUAGAGCGGCCGAUGGCAGAUUAGGUAGGUGGUGGGAUAAAAGCUUACCAAGCCGACGAUCUGUAGCUGGUCUGAGAGGACGAUCCGCCACACUGGGACUGCGACACGGCCCAGACUCCUACGGGAGGCAGCAGUGGGGAAUUUUGGACAGUGGGCGCAAGCCUGAUCCAGCAAUGCCGCGUGCAGGAUGAAGGCCUUCGGGUUGUAAACUGCUUUUGUACGGAACGAAAAGCCCUGGGUUAAUACCCUGGGGUCAUGACGGUACCGUAAGAAUAAGCACCGGCUAACUACGUGCCAGCAGCCGCUGUAACAC
rnacentral:rRNA from 1 species